AUUGUUUUGUCUACAGGUUGUGCUGCCUCUUGCUCCUGGAUUCCUUCUGUUUCUUGUCGCCACAACAGCUUGGGACCUAUGCUUUGGACUGACUACAAUGGAUGUUACAUCGCUUGUAAUGAUUGGAAAAUCUGUUUGUCCUUCGUGUCAGAAACAGCACGAGUGCUUGGAGUACAUCUGUAUGUUAUAACUAUACCAGGGCAUCACUUUACUGUCCGCAUACUACACUGUAGAUAUUAUAAUGGGUUCUAUAUUGUCUUGAGUCGCGCUGCGCCAGGAUUUACACUUUCACCUGGCUCCGCUUCGUGAAGACAUGGAAGCAUCGUGGGUUUUGCCCGGGGAUGAACCCGUGAGAGUGGAAGAGUUCUGGAGAACAUCUGCGCUGUGUGCCGAUGCACCUUAUGAGAGAAUAAGACCAGUAGGCAAGAGAAGUCAUUUCUGUAACUAACAAAGUGGAUGGUGAGCAAAGGUGGUGGCCAAAUUUUGGACAGCACCUGGGUUUUGCAGAUGGCUAUUCUUUCCCCAUUAUGUUUGUUGCCUAAAGAUUCUUUGUAAGGAUAAAUCCAGAUACAACAAUGCACUGCAAAAUGUCCUAAGACAGGAGAAAUGAAGAAGAACUGUUCCAGCAUUGAAAGACUGAGUUUGUGUUAUACAUGCAAUGUUUUAAAUAAUUUGAUAUUUUGUAAUUAUUGUGUCUGUUUUAACUGAAUGCCAGUAGUACGGUAAGGUAAUGUUUGCAACUGGAAGCCAAAUACAGUUUGUAAAUCUUAAUUACAGUAACUCACUGGUAACAGUGUUGCCAGUAAAUUACUGUAAAAACCCUUUGAAAUGUCUAACAGUGUGCGUCGUGCGCUUUUACUUUCACAAAACUGUUAAAUGUACAUUGCUGCAGUCAACCAUUCUCUCUUCCUUUAUAAAUGUUGUGGCAGAUGACUAGUCAUCUGUCACAGCAGUUAUCUCCCGCUUUCACCUGAUCAAUGGUGCCAUUUAGAAAUGGACAUUUUCAAUUACUGCCACUUGGCUACUGAUCUGAGAGAGCUAAACACAGACUACUCCGAAUGAGUCUCUCUAAUUGAUCGAUUGCUUCUUCACUUUCAAUUUAAAAUCUACACUUCAGGCUUGUUGCUUUUAUUUUUACAGCUAGAAGAGCAAAGACCUGGCUGUAAAAUGUGUACGAGCUGGCUGCCUCUAUUUCAUCUGCCAUUUCUAAUUUACAGAAUCCAUUAUGGCAAUAGAUGGAAAUAGAAAAUUUGGUUAAUGGCUGCUGAAGACAGCGUAAAGACCUAAAGUGCUCAUGUUUGUUGUGACUGGCAGAUCGGAAGUGAUAAAUAGUUAUUAGUAAAGACAAUCAACUUUUCUGCCACUGUCUUCAUGAGCCUAGCAGCUCUUAAUUUUAAAACCGAGCACUCUAGAUACCAAGGCUGUUAAUUGACUUGGCGUCUUUGUGGUUUCUGGUCUUUGUUUUUCAUGUUUCUGAGAAAGUUAUGAUAA